AGUGAGGGAUUUUGCGCAAUGGGGGAAACCCUGACGCAGCAACGCCGCGUGAGUGAAGAAGGCCUUUGGGUCGUAAAGCUCUGUCGACAGGGAAGAAGUUGAGGUGUAUUAAUAGUAUAUUUCAUUGACGGUACCUGUAGAGGAAGCAUCGGCUAACUCCGUGCCAGCAGCCGCGGUAAUACGGGGGAUGCAAGCGUUAUUCGGAAUCAUUGGGCGUAAAGGGCACGCAGGCGGUUCUGUCAGUCAGAUGUGAAAGCCCGGGGCUUAACCCCGGACGUGCAUUUGAAACAGCAGGACUUGAGUACGGUAGAGGAAAGCGGAAUUCCUGGUGUAGAGGUGAAAUUCGUAGAUAUCAGGAGGAACACCGGUGGCGAAGGCGGCUUUCUGGACCGAAACUGACGCUGAGGUGCGAAGGCGUGGGUAGCGAACAGGAUUAGAUACCCUGGUAGUCCACGCAGUAAACGUUGUACACUAGGUGUAGCGGGUAUUGACCCCUGCUGUGCCGGAGCUAACGCAUUAAGUGUACCGCCUGGGGAGUACGGCCGCAAGGCUAAAACUCAAAGAAAUUGACGGGGGCCCGCACAAGCGGUGGAGCAUGUGGUUUAAUUCGACGCAACGCGAAGAACCUUACCCAGACUUGACAUCCUGUGAACCUCUUAGAAAUAAGAGGGUGCCUUCGGGAGCACAGAGACAGGUGCUGCAUGGCUGUCGUCAGCUCGUGUCGUGAGAUGUUCGGUUAAGUCCGGCAACGAGCGCAACCCUUGUCUUCAGUUGCCAGCACGUAAAGGUGGGAACUCUGAAGAGACUGCCCCGGUUAACGGGGAGGAAGGUGGGGAUGACGUCAAGUCCUCAUGGCCCUUAUGUCUGGGGCUACACACGUGCUACAAUGGUAUGUACAAAGGGCAGCAAGCAUGCGAGUGCAAGCCAAUCCCUUAAAGCAUAUCCCAGUCCGGAUUGGAGUCUGCAACUCGACUCCAUGAAGUUGGAAUCGCUAGUAAUCGUGGAUCAGCAUGCCACGGUGAAUACGU
rnacentral:rRNA from 1 species